ACAAACCAGUCACUUCUGAACUCUACCAAGGAUGCCAGAGAACACAGAGCAAACUUCCAGGUCAGCAUCUACACCCAGGCAAGGCUUGGUCUCCCUGGGCAGCUGGCAGUUUUCUCCUUCAUUCUCAGUGUGGGAGUGGAAUCGGGAUCCUCCCAGAAUGUUCCUGGUAUUCCUGCCAAGCAGAGGGUCUGAUGUUGUUUUCACGCAACAGCAAAGAAUUGGGACAAGAGAAGCUGUGAGGUACGGCGAAGGUCCAUUCUGGGAAUGUUAAGUUGUUCUUCUGCCUGCUUGAACGCGGUCUCCCGAGGACUGUCAGAGAAUCCAGCCCACACAGCUCAGAAUGCAAGCACCAUGCAAGCCAUCCAUAAGUCAGACUCGGAGCACCAGUGGUACCUGUGAGGUGGACACGCCAUUAAUACAGAUGUCUGUGCCAGUAGGAGGCACAAAGGCCAACCUAGGGUCUGAGCCUCUGCAUCUAACCCCCCCUCCAGUGAUCCUGCAAUGUGCCUGCCAGUGCCCCCAUGGGACAGAUGAGGAAGUGGAGGCCAGGAGACCAGGGAAUGGCUGGCCCACACCUCUCAGCUACCAGGAAAGGCCAGCCAAGCCAAAGCCCCUGCUGCUCUCCGCAAGGGGCCCUGUGUCAUGAGGCACAAGAGGACCCAGAACUGCAAGCCUCAGAGUCAUUAAGAAAAUCCCCAGCCUGUUCUAAUAUUCAGUAUAAUCAUUUCCAUCCCCACACCAUGCCAAAAGUCUGUGUCCCUGAUAGAUGGAGACAAGUUCCGGGAAAGGGUCCAAAUCCAGGGCUGAGAGACCUUGGAGCAGCAGUGGGAAGGGGACAGGGAGAUUCACUUGGCUUUAAGGGAAGCCCCCAAGAGCUGCAUUUGCAGGCUACAGGAUCACGGGUUUGAAGUGGGAUGGGAGUUUGCCACCUGGAAGUCAUGGAGAGGACACGUUCAAGGGAAGGCUCGGGCUUCUUCUGGCCACACAGGAUCCCCAGAGGACCUCUGCUUACCUGGCACCCUUCUGCUGCCAGAGGGUGCCACACGGAGACCUGUUGCCUGCCAGCGCAAGUCCUGGCAUGAGAAUUAUUUGAGGACCAGAGGCCUUGAGAGCAGCACCCUUUGUCAGAGCGAGCCAUGCCCACCGCCUCCCCUGCUAGCUAAGUGGCCUGACGGCAUCCUCCCCAUGAGCACCAGAGCACAGGGAGACAGAUGGCUUCAGUGGCCAUCACUGAACCGAAUCCUGCCACACCUGGGCGUCGGGAGCAAAGGGUCUGCUGACUUGGGUGACCGUGGGUCUGACUCUGAUCUUUUCUGGUCCUCAGCUCUCCCAUCCUGUUGUGCUCACUCUAUCCGAGGUAAAGCUAUGGGGACCACAGGAACCGGAGGGGCACAGACGAUGGCUCCUGCUGCUAGGAGAAAGCAUGUGUGCUUUGAGGCGGGCUCUCACUGUGUUAAACAGGCUGGCCCCCAACUCCUGAACUAAAGCCAUCUUCCUACCUCCCAACUUCCCAGCACACCCAGAUGGAAAUAGGUGCUUUUAAAUAGUAGUCGCCAGUCAUUGCAGUAUAGGGCUACAGAGGGGGCACUGUCGGUCCAGCAGUAACUGUCCCCACAGUGUGUUGGGGGCACAAGGAUCCCAGUGGCAACUUUGCCCUUCAUUGCCUCAGUAUUACCAAAUAUCCUCUUCUGUCGGCCCUGCUUUCUGGACUCACAGACAAACGGUACUAGUCACCAGAUGGUGGCUGUCACCAGCACAUGGUUCAUGCCAUUGGGAGCACUGCAGAAGGAGUCUUUCUGCUGGGCACCUAACUGGAAAAGUCAACACAGCUGUGUUCCAAGAAUCCAGAGGUCUGAAGGAGACAAAUGUGAACAAUGAAACCCAGCCAAUUGAUGGUGGGGAGCACUGAUGAUGGGGAGCACUUUCGUGGGGAGCAUCGUGGUGAAGAGAACUAAUGUUUGAGCCACACAAGCUGGAACCAGAGUUGAUCCUGCCUCAGGGAGUUAAGUUGGGCGGGGAGAACCCAAGAACUGGCAUUUGGGAUCAGCAGAGGCCACCCCAGGAUUUCUGACCCAGACCUUCAGUCCCCAUUUUUCUGUUGCCAGACCCCCACCCCCACCCCGUCCCUAUGUCCAUCUCAAAUUCUCCCACAUUCAGUACCAGAGCUUCCAACUCUGCUCCUUGUAUGGGUCUUCCAGAUAUCCCCAGGGUGUUCGCUGGCACAGACUCUGCCCCAGUGUUCCGGGAAGGUGGGGCCAACCUCUUGGUUCUUUGCCCAUGGAAAUAAAGAGAAAUGUGCUGGU